CAGCUUAAUACAUGCAAGUCGAGGGGCAGCAUGAAGUAGCAAUACUUUGAUGGCGACCGGCAAACGGGUGCGGAACACGUACACAACCUUCCUUUUGGUGGGGAAUAGCCCAGAGAGAUUUGGAUUAAUACCCCGUAACAUAACGAUGUGGCAACACAUUGUUAUUAUAGCUUCGGCGCUAGAUGAUGGGUGUGCGUAUGAUUAGAUAGUUGGCGAGGUAACGGCUCACCAAGUCUACGAUCAUUAGCUGAUGUGAGAGCAUGAUCAGCCACACGGGCACUGAGACACGGGCCCGACUCCUACGGGAGGCAGCAGUAAGGAAUAUUGGUCAAUGGACGCAAGUCUGAACCAGCUAUGCCGCGUGAAGGAUUAAGGUCCUCUGGAUUGUAAACUUCUUUUAUCUGGGACGAAAAAAGGUCUUCCUAGAUCACUUGACGGUACCAGAUGAAUAAGCACCGGCUAACUCCGUGCCAGCAGCCGCGGUAAUACGGAGGGUGCAAGCGUUAUCCGGAUUCACUGGGUUUAAAGGGUGCGUAGGCGGGCAGGUAAGUCAGUGGUGAAAUCCUGGAGCUCAACUCCAGAACUGCCAUUGAUACUAUCUGUCUUGAAUAUUGUGGAGGUAAGCGGAAUAUGUCAUGUAGCGGUGAAAUGCUUAGAUAUGACAUAGAACACCCAUUGCGAAGGCAGCUUACUACGCAUAUAUUGACGCUGAGGCACGAAAGCGUGGGGAUCAAACAGGAUUAGAUACCCUGGUAGUCCACGCCCUAAACGAUGGAUACUCGACAUACGCGAUACACUGUGUGUGUCUGAGCGAAAGCAUUAAGUAUCCCACCUGGGAAGUACGUUCGCAAGAAUGAAACUCAAAGGAAUUGGCGGGGGUCCGCACAAGCGGAGGAGUAUGUGGUUUAAUUCGAUGAUACGCGAGGAACCUUACCUGGGCUAGAAUGCUGGGAGACCG
rnacentral:rRNA from 1 species